rnacentral:rRNA from 1 species
UACGUAGGGUGCGAGCGUUGUCCGGAAUUACUGGGCGUAAAGAGCUCGUAGGUGGUUUGUCGCGUUGUUCGUGAAAACUCACAACUCAAUUGUGGGCGUGCGGGCGAUACGGGCAGACUGGAGUACUGCAGGGGAGACUGGAAUUCCUGGUGUAGCGGUGGAAUGCGCAGAUAUCAGGAGGAACACCGGUGGCGAAGGCGGUUCUCUGGGAAUGUCCUGACGCUGAGGAGCGAAAGUGUGGGGAGCGAACAGG